UCCCUGAUAGCUCAGUUGGCAAAGAAUCUGCCUGCAAUGCAGGAGACCCUGGUUCGAUUCCUGGGCCAGGAA
rnacentral:tRNA from 1 species